UCCGGUUUAACACCGGCAGUCUUCCCAGAGUCCCCAACUUAAUGAUGGUAACUGAGAACAGGGGUUGCGCUCGUUAUUGGACUUAACCAGACAUCUUACGACACGAGCUGACGACAGCCAUGCAGCACCUAUCUCCACGUCUCCGAAGAGAACACAUCAUCUCUGAUGCUAGCGUGGGAUGUUAAGGGUAGGUAAGGUUCUGCGCGUUGCUUCGAAUUAAUCCACAUAAUCCACCGCUUGUGCGGGUCCCCGUCAAUUCCUUUGAGUUUUAACCUUGCGGCCGUACUCCCCAGGCGGUCAACUUCACGCGUUAGCUUCGUUACCAAGGAAUUGCUUCCCCGACAACCAGUUGACAUAGUUUAGGGCGUGGACUAC
rnacentral:misc_RNA from 1 species